ACGUGACCGGCUGCCCGGGGCUUCUGACUUGCCCGCGAAAGUGCGCCUCCCCCAGUAGUCGCGGGCUGGCCCGCCUGCGGUUUGUUGCUCGACCCGCCCGGCUCGUCCUUCGGUCCCAAUUAAUUAGCGUCGAAACUGCCAAAAUGUUCUUCAAAGUGGCUGUACCAUUUUACAUUCCCAUCAGCAGUGUAUGAGAGUUGCAGUUGCUCCACGUCCUCAUCAAUCCUUGGUAUGGUCAGUCUUUUUAAUAGACGCUGUAAUAGGUUCUGGGUAUAUACCUCAAAGUGGAAUUGCUGGAUUAUAGAAAAUCUGUAUCUUCAACUGCACUAGACAUUGCAAAAUUACCCUCCAAAGUGGUUGUACCAGUUUAUACUUCCACCAAUAGCAAAAAAGUUUCUUUGCUCUGCUACAUCCUUCCAGGAAGAAAAGACACCAGGGAGGCACAGGGAAAAGGCCAUGUAAAAACACAAGAAGACAGCUAUCUGGGACGUCUCAGGAUAAACCAACUCUUCCAACACCUUGAUCUGGACUUCCAGCUUCUAGAACUGUGAGAAAAUACAUUUCCAUUGUUGAAGUCACCUGGUCGGCAGUGUUUUGUUAUGGGAGUUCUAGCAAGCUAAUACAUAUUCUUUGCCUGUUUUUCUAUCGAGUUAUAUGUGUCUCUUUCUUAUUGGAGUUUUAUUCUUGGAUACUAAUGUUGUCAAUGUACAUAUUGCAUGUAUCUUAGUAUGAGUCUUGUUUUCUUUUUUCUUGAUUAUAAUUUGGUCAUAUAGAAAUUUUUAAAAAUUUUAGUGGAGUCAAAUGUGCUGCUUAUGGUUUGUACUUCUCCAAGCUACUCUCUGAGCCCCAUGUUUCUCACCUGUAAAAUAGAGACAAAACAACCCUUAUUUAAAAAGAAAAAAAGCCCUAUUUCAUAGGAUUGUUUGUAGAUUAAAUGUAAUCAUGCAUAUAAAGUGUAUAUUAGCACCUGACUAUUACUAUUAUUGCUGUUAUCAUAGGACACACACACAAAAAUCUUAGUUUCUCUGUGUAUUGCCAACAAAGAGAU